rnacentral:tRNA from 1 species
UGGCUCAAUGGUAGAGCGUUCGACUCAAAUAUGAUAGGUCGUGGGUUCGAAUCCCAC